rnacentral:tRNA from 2 species
GGGGCUAUAGCUCAGUUGGCAGAGCGCCUCCAUGGCAUGGAGGAGGUCGAGGGUUCAAUUCCCUCUAGCUCCACAA